CAAUAGCGUAUAUUAAAGUUGUUGCAGUUAAAAAGCUCGUAGUUGGAUUUCUGGUAGGAGCGACCGUGCCGAACUUGAUUGUUCGAGUAUUGUGUUGUCUUCAGCCAUCCUCGUGGAGAACUUUUCUAACAUUAACUUGUUGGGAUUGGGACCCGCGUCGUUUACUGUGAAAAAAUUAGAGUGUUUAAAGCAGGCAUUAGCUUGAAUACAUUAGCAUGGAUUAAUAAGAUAGGACUUUGGUACUAUUUUGUUGGUUUGCAUACCAAAUUAAUGAUCAACAGGAACAGUUUGAGGAUAUUCGUAUGAACAUGUCAGAGGUGAAAUUCUUGGAUUUUGAUCAGACGAACUACUGCGAAAGCAUUUAUCAAGGAUGUUUUCAUUAA
rnacentral:rRNA from 1 species